rnacentral:tRNA from 1 species
GAAGAUAUGGACUCAGUGGUUAAGAGUACUUGACUGCUCUUUCAGCAGAUCUGGGUUUGAGUCCCAGUACCCACA